UCUAAGCCUUGGGCUCUCUGUUCUCUGGUUUAGUUAUCUCUUUUGGUUGAUUGAGCUUUACUUUUCAUCUCUACUUAUCUGGAAUUCUGGAUCUCCUUCAGGCAGAUUACAUGGAAAGAGAUGCACUUGAUGCACUAGGAUGGGUCUGAUACUGUUGGUGGAUGCUCAUGACCCAUGUUGGCCUUAUAGAGAAGAUCUACUAAAACUACAACUCUCUCUCUCUCUCUCUCUCUCUCUCUCUCUCUCUCUCUCUGACUUUUGUUUGUUCGCUAUGUACUUCGUUUAAUGAACAUUAUUCUGUUUACAGCAUUGGACAAAACUGAGGCCAGUUGAGAGAGUGGAUGGCUAAGCCCAUGGGGGUAGCGGAGUUAGUAAGGGACUUUGUCCUCAGGAACGUGUGAUUUUGAGCUCGAUUCUUAUUUUCUUGGGACUGCU